UCGGGCGUGGUGAAUGGCACACACUCCUUCCUGUUUGGCAGGGAGCUGGAUGGAGGAGAGACCGGGUUCGAUUCCCGGCGCCUGAA